CCUACGGGAGGCAGCAGUGGGGAAUAUUGCACAAUGGGGGAAACCCUGAUGCAGCGACGCCGCGUGAAGGAAGAAGUCUUUCGGUAUGUAAACUACUAUCAGCAGGGAAGAAAAUGACGGUACCUGUAUAAGAAGCCCCGGCCAACUCCGUGCCAGAAGCCUCGGUAAUACGGAGGGGGCAAGCGUUAUCCGGAUUUACUGGGUGUAAAGGGAGCGUGGGCGGUUGAGCAAGUCAGAAGUGAAAGCCCGGGGCUCAACUCCGGGACUGCUUUUGAAACUGUUGAGCUAAAUUGCAGUAGAGGUAAGUGGAAUUCCUGGUGUAGCGGUGAAAUGCGUAGAGAUUAGGAGGAACACCAGUGGCGAAGGCGGCUUACUGGACUGUAAAUGACGCUGAGGCUCGAAAGCGUGGGGAGCAAACAGGAUUAGAUACCCCUGUAGUC
rnacentral:rRNA from 1 species